rnacentral:lncRNA from 1 species
CAAUCUUGGAGUGAAUAACUGCCUGUGUUGCAAGGAUUUCCCCUUCUCCGUUCCAUACUAUUAGCCCUGAAGCCGAUCUAAACGACUGACGGUUGAAGGCUGCGUUAAAAUGAACUGUGGCCCUUCCCCUUUUGAAUACCUGUUGAAUAUUGCCAGUAGAAUGAAGAGUAAGUUUUUUCUCUUUUGUUGCUUCUAGUUCUCUUUUGUUGCUUCUAGUUCUGUAAUAUAGUUUCGAAUUUUCCUUGCAAUUUCAGUUCCUGACAUGUAUCUUCUUUCAUAUACGAGUUGGUUUCUGCUGAACCAGAUAAACCAUAGUCCACAGCAGAAAAACUCCAAACCCAAACCUUAAUCAUAUAAAUUUCAAUAAAUUUUCUAAGAAAGCAUUUUUCUUUUAUACCUUAAUACAUAAGGAGGAAAGGGAGAAUUAUAAUUAAUUUUAAUUAGGCUUAAAUAAAAUUUUAAGUAUUUAUUAGAAAUUUCUUCAAUUUUUUAAAAAAUAUUUUGCUUAUUAGUGAUGUGAAUUGUGGUGUAUUGAUAGUGCAUACAAAUUGACGGUGCAUUAAAUAUUAUCAUAAAAUUUUACAAGAUAAUUAAUUUAGAAAUGAAGCUUGAAUAUUAUUUAAAUAAAUUUUUUCCUUUAAAAAGAAAAAAAAUGCCGACUCUAAAUUUGGAGUUUCCACCUUCAUGUUGCUGUAAAAUUUGAAGUUUCCAACUCUUCAUUUACUUGUGGAACCAUAGUAGAGUAUAGUUCAAAAAUUGCCAAAAGGAGGUCAAAGCAUACCAUACUUAUUAAAUAUAAAAAAAAUUAUUCUGCCCCUUUUGCCUGUCCCUACCUAUGUCUCACCAAUGUUAUUAGUCCACGUGUACAAUUAAAUUUUAUGUUUUGCUUUUUGCUAAUGUCGUGUUCUUUUUCCUUUCGCUGAAGUUUCAGUCUCAACAAAGAUGGGCUGCUCAAGUUUCUUUGCUUUUUUUCAAACUUUUCAAGUUUUAGUCUUAACAAAGAUGGACGGCUCAAGUUUCAUUUUAAUUUCAAACUUUUUAAGUUUCAGUUUUGUUAUUAUGGAGUACAAUAAAAAAGAAGGACAAAGUGAAGUAAUGGAGGUCGGUUUAUUUGAAGAGGUCGAGAACCGGAACAAAAACAAAAGGAUAAACUAAUUGAAAAGACAAUUACUCAAAAUAAUUUUAGGGAGUUAAAAGAUCGAUUCCUUCCACAUCGUUCCUUAGGGCAUUUAUAGAGAAUGUCCUUUUGUCCAUUGAUGUGAUGUUGUUGAAUAAACAUUCAGUCACACUAAAUGCGUAAAUAAUAUUCAUAAGUGUAUAUCAGGAGGCCUUAUCAAUACAAGGUCAUUGUGCCUAAAUGGACUUCUUAUCGUAUCAAAAGUGUGUUCACAUUAGGAAAGCAUUCAUACUUAAAAGCGGGUGGGUGGUUCCCUCUAACUAGAACGAGUGAUCUUACCCAAAGGUGUUGGGAGUGGGUAACCUAGAUGUUACUACAGAUGGAGUCAACGUGUGGGUAAAUGGUGUGUUUGGUGUAGACACAUUUCCGAGUAGCGAAGGAGUGUGACAAGUCUUAACAAAGAUGGGCAGACAAAGAGGAUAAAAAUAAUAACAAAAAGAAAGAUGGCAAUUUCAUUGUGGGUUAUAUAGAUUACAAUGGAAGUUUAAACAUCGUUACAAAAAGAGAAUAAAUGAGUAGUCCCGAUGUGGCGGAGAUUAUCGAGCGAAAAUGCAGCAAGAGAUUGUUGUGUAUGAACUUGGAGGAACUGAAGGUAUGUACAGACCUGGAUCUUGAGUUAGAACAUGGUUCAUGUUAGAGAUGUUUAGUGCCAUUCAUGUUUCACUUCAGGUUCCACUCUUGGUUCCACUUGUACUGGUGGCAAUUCUUCCAUCACCAACUGUUAUAUCCUAAGCUUUGGUUAUUCAAAACAUGCCCACUCUCUUUGGAUUACUUUUAAUUUGUAAUUGCCUGAUUAAUAUAGAACAAAAACGUUUUCAAAUUUUCAAUCCAUCUGAUAGCAUGUUUAGCAUGUAAAUUUUUUGAAGAUUUUAGUCAACAAUUUUAGAUGACAAUCUUAGGAAUGUCAAGGCUCGAGCUUGACUGAAAGUGUGGGCACAAGUAGUUUGUAAAGUGAAAAAUUGAAAAGUAAAGAAAAAUGGCAAAGAAAAGGAGAUAAAAAAUUGCUUCUGUUAGUUUCUUAAGAUUUAAAGUUGUUAUUGUUAGUUUCUUGCUAUUGAAAUCUAUGGAUGGUUCAAUUUUAAAGGGACAGAUUUUUGUCCAAAGAAAAAAAGUGUAAAGAUACAACACUAGAAUUAUCACACCAAUAGGUGUACCAGUAAGAUUUAACCCUAUCUCAUUCAACAAAGAAUGAAAUGUCAACUCGGAUGUCGCAUGCUAAACUUUUAUAUUAAGCUUCUAAAGUAGACCGAGAUACAACACUUUGUUUCUUGGACAUCCAACCAACAAGAUUAUCACCAAUAUACACGCAAAACUUGGAAGUAGACUUACGAUCUUCAAGUGAACUCUCUCAAUCAACAUCACUAAAACCAGUUAAACUCAUACUCGAUACUUGAAACAACUACCCAUAAUCAAUUGUACCCUCAACAUACCGCAAUAAAUGUUUUACAACUGUCCAAUGCACAUCAUGAGGUUUAUGCAUAUAUUGACUAACUUUAUUGACAACAAAUGACAAAUCAGGGCGAGUUAAACACAAAUAUUGCAAACUAUCUACAACUUGUCGAUAAAGUGUACCAUCUGACAAUGGUGACCUGACCAAGGAUGUAAGAGUCAAAUAACUCACCAUAGGAGUGUUUACUAGCUUGGCAUUCGCCAUGUUUGUGUGUUCUAGCAACUCACAAGCGUAUUUUUGUUGAUACACAUGCAUCCGAUCUUUAUAUCUCAACACCUCAAGCCCAAGAAAAAAAUUCAGCUCCUCUAAGUCUUUAAGAGAGAACUGACGAUCAAGAUAUGAGAUAAUAACAUCUAACUUAGCACAACCACCACCUAUAACAAUAAUAUCACCAACAUACACAAGAAAAUAAACACUUGCAACAACUAUGUGCUUGUAAAACAAUGAAGAAUUAGCUUAUUUUAUCAUCCUAACUCGAUUUGAAGUUUUUCAGAUCGAGUUGAGUCGAAUUGACUGAAAUUGUUAAGAGUUAAAUUAAAAAAUUAAACAUGUCAAAUUAAAAUCUUGUUACAGUAUAACUAAUUCCAUGUUAGAGUACAUAAAUUUGAAACCAUAUAUAUUUGAAAACUUUUUCAAAGCAAAAUAAUAAAAAAAUACUUUAGUAUGAUAAACUUGAAUCAUUAAUUAACUUAUUUUAGUCCCAAAAAUUAUUAUUCUAGAAAUUUUUUAAUUCUUUUAACUUACUUUACAUAUUCUUUAUAUUUUUUUUGAAAUUUUUAUAAAUAUUUUUAUUUUAAAAAAUUAUUCUAAUUUUUUUUUGUAAUUUUUGUUGAGAGAGACCAAAUUGUUUAUUUUCAAAUUUGACAUGGAUCAAAAGGGUAUUUACACGAAUCUGUUAUUCGAAUUAUUUGAGUUAUUCGAAUUGUAAAAUUCAACUUGAUUCGAACUCGAAACUCAAAUUACUUAUUUGUGUUGACUUGAAUAAUUCAAAUAACUUGAUUGAAUUAACUCUAAAUUUAAAUUUUUCUUUGAAUCGAAUUGAAUUUUACUCAUCCAUAACUGCACAUGAAUAAUUGGGUCAAACUUUCAAAACCAAUGUUACUAAAGCUAGAAAAUAAACUAAUUUAUAGUCGGUAAUAGGGGUGAGCGUUCGAUCGAAUCAUAUUAGAGAGUAGCUUAGGAAGCUGUUAGUUAGUUUGUAUUGGGUACAAAUACAGUUGCUCAGUUUGUUGAAGAGCAGUUAUUUUUGAAACUCUAUAAAUAGGCGUUCUCAUAUGUACAGAAGGCAUGAUUUGAAAAUAUAAAAAAAGUAUCAUUGUUAUUUUAGUUCUUUAAUAUUUCUCUCUUCACCUAGAUCUUUACAUAGUAUCAUUCGCAGGUUGAUCCUGUAUCAUGACUUCCGCUGAUUCUGCUUCAGGUGAACCUGUUUCUGUUGUGUUUGCCGGUAAUCUUGUCACCAAUGCUUUUCCUCGGCAUGAGGUGGUUAAGCUAGAUGAUGGCACUUAUCUCCAAUGGCAUAAACAGGUAAAAUUAAUUGUUGAUGGAUAUGGACUUACUGGUUUUUUAAAUUGUACGUUGCCUUCGCCAUCAAUGUUUAUUUAAUUGCACGAUGGAUCUCGUGCUCCGAAUCCGACAGCUUUGGUGUUCACGCAGCAAGAUCGACUUCUCACUUCUUGGCUUCUAUCCACGAUAAGUCCUUCUCAUCAAUCUUCGUUUAAUGAUGCUUGCACAGCGUGUGACAUAUAGACUAUGGUGAUUAAUUUGUUUGCGGCCGAUACUGGAGUGAGGCAAUCCAGGAUUCGACAUGAGCUGCAUUCUUUAAAGAAAGGUAACCUUUCUAUUAAAGCUUAUGUUGCUCGUAUUAAAGACUUGUGUGCUAUUUUAGAGACUUCUAGCUUUCUUAUCUUGGAAGAGGAGAAUAUUGAGGUGAUACUUGCGGGUUUACUGCUGGGGUUCAAGGCGGUUAUUUCUUCCACACGGUUGUUGACUGGCGUUCUCUCUUUUCAGCGCUUGGUUGAUACUCUUGUUGAAUGUGAGACUCGUCAAACGCGAUUAUUUUAGAAAGCUGUUUUGCAUGCAAAUCUUGUUGAAAAUACGCCGUCCGAUAAAGGCGCUGUUCGCGGUGGCCGUGUGUCUAGUCGUGGUCGCAGCUAGAGUUUUCGAUCUCACAUUCAAUGCUAGAUCUGUAAUCAUUUUGGUCACGUGGCUCAGAACUGCUACUACCGGUACCAUCAAGACUCGACUGGCUCGUUGGCAGUGCCUCCGAUCUCCUAUCAAGGAUACUCGUCGUCGAUCUUUGAUGGUUAUGGUGAAGGGCAGUUUGCUUGUUAAAAGAAAAAUCCAAGAGUUAAUUUUGGUCAAGAUUUUGGUCUAGGCUAUUAUGGUGCUGAUGGUUAAACUUUGUUUGGUGGAAUGAAUAGUGGGUUUCCUGCAAGUGGGUCGUCCAUGUUUUAUAAUCAAGAUGGGUAUUUUGGCCAUUUUGCUCCCAACGCGUCUAGGCCCACUAUGCGUGAGUUUGUUCCUGAUGAUGGGCCAUGGAAGAAUGGGUCAGCGUGGCAGCCUGAUUAUGAUAAAAAUGGGCAAAAUAAAUUUGUUACUGGACAUAGGCAAAAUGUCUCUCCUGGACCGAAUGUGAUGCCAUCUUCUAAUUUCGUCCAGGUUGAAUCUGGCUUCUAUAGACCGGUUGAUGGUGGUCUAGGUCUAUGACCUAUUGGUCAUAUUGGUGGUGGUCCGAUUUUGCGAUCUACUAAACCAUGCGCUCGGGUAUACACUGGGUCAGAUCCAUGUAUUGGACUUCCUCGGUUAGGUGAUUUGCAUGCUUCUGAUUUUUCUGACUCUCCUGUCAAAACUAUUCAACCUAGGUCCAAUGGUGGUGAUGAUAGUUCAUAUAUUCCUGUGCAUGUUGGUACCACUUCCUUGUAUCUUGAUUCUGGUGUGAGUAAUCAUGUCUGUCUCGAUGUGUCCGCACUACGUUAUGUCACGCUGUAUUCAGGUACGUCGAUUCUUUUAAUGGGCGAUGGUACUCCUGUAGUGAUUUCCUCAAUUGGUAAUGCUAUUCUCCCUACUCAGUCUAAAUCGUUACGCUUGUCUAAUGUUCUAUGUGUGCCGAGUAUAAGAAAAAAUCUUUUAUCGGUUUCACAAUUUGCUCAUGAUAAUGGUGUGUUUUUUGAGUUUCAUUCUACACAUUGUAUUCUUAAGGAUGUCGUGACCCGAGAGACGUUGCUGAAGGGCCACAUUCAUGAUGGGUUAUAUCAAUUUUCUGUGCCAAUGGUGUCUACUUCGUCUAAUGGUGUUCCGUUUGCUGCUCAUUCACAAGUUCAAACUAAAGUUCUAGAUUGUCCGGUGUUUGCUUUAUGGCAUAAUCGUUUAGGCCACCCGUCUGCUUCUGUGGUUAAAACUGUUCUUGAUCAAUAUAAUGUCGUUUCAAAUAAAUACUGUUUUGAUGGUAUUUGUAUUGCGUGUCAAAAAUAAGGGUCACAUAAGUUGCCUUUCUCAAUUUCGGCCACUAACUAUCUUCCUUUUGAAUUAAUUAUUUCUGAUAUUUGGGGACCUGGAUCUGUUGCGUGUGAUGAUAAGUGGUAUUACAUUUCGUUUAUUGAAAUGAGUACUAGGUUCACCUGGAUUUAUCUUUUACGACAGAAAUCUUAAGCAGUGGAAUGUUUUAUUUAGUUUUAUCAGUUAAUCAAGACACAGUUUGGUAAGUCUAUUAAGCAGUUUCAGAGCGAUUGAGGUGACGAAUAUCAUGGUCUUAUACCUGUUUUAGCCUCUCAGGGUAUUAUCCAUCGACUGACUUGUCCAUAUACUUCCGAACAAAAUGGAGUAGCUGAGCGUAAACACAGACAUAUUGUUGAAAUGGGCAUUACACUAUUAGCCCAAGCAAAUUUACCUAUGGAGUACUGGGGAUAUGCGUUUUGUUGCACAGUUCAUCUUAUAAAUCGACUUCCUACGGUUGUCUGUCAUGGCCGUUCUCCAUUUAAGGAUCUUUACAGAAAUGAUCCUACUUAUGAUCAUCUUUGGGUUUUUGGUUGUUGCUAUUACCCUUAUUUACGUCCGUUUGUAGGUCAUAAAUUGGAGUUUCACUUUCAGCCGUCUACAUUUUUGGGUUACAGCCCUCGUCAUAAAGGGUAUUAGUGUCUUUUACCAAAUGGUAAGGUUAUUGUUUCGCGACAUGUGGUAUUUGAUGAGCAGAGGUUCUUAUUUUCUGAGACUAGCUCCGAUAAACCUGUAUUGUUAUCCAGACAGAUUAGUACGACAAUUAUUCCUCUUGUAUGGCCUAUUUCUUCUCAAUCGCUUGAACCUUUCACGUCGUCACCUUCUCUACGAGAUGUUAAAUUAGUGCAAUCUCAGUCCAAUACUUCUUCGGCUGAUGUUGACUUGGUGCAAUCACCAGAUGUUUCAAGUGGUAAUGCUCGGUCUAUCACAAUAACAUCGAUUGAUGUUGACUUAGUGCAAUCACCAGAUGUUUCAAGUGGUAAUGCUCGGUCUAUUACAAGAACAUCUGAAGGUGUCUCGUCCUCUUCUGAUAGUCCGACUAGUGACAUGAGUUUUCAAGCCUAAGGUCUUAACUGAUGAAGUUGUAGAAUCUUCUACAAUUGAGGAAACUCUGGCUACUGAUGAAUGGAAAGCUGCAGCCCAAGAUGAGUAUAAUGUUCUUAUUCGUAAUUCUACGUGUGAGCUGGUUUCAGCUCCACCUAAUCGUAAGAUAAUUGGAUGUAAGUGGUUGUUCAAAAUCAAAAGGAAUUCUGAUGGUACCAUUUCUCGUCAGAAGGCUCGGUUAGUAGCGAAAGGUUACUCUCAGGUUCUGGGAUGUGAUUUUAAGGAAACUUUUAGUCUAGUGGUUAAACCAGCUACUAUUAGAGUUAUUUUUUCUGUUGCUGUUUUCAAGGGAUGGUCGCUUCGACAAGUGGAUGUCAAUAAUGCUUUUCUGAAUAGAGAUCUUGAGACUGAAGUUUUCAUACAACAGCCUCCGGGUUAUGUUCAGUAUGAUUCACAUGGCAAACCUUUGAUGUGUCGACUAAAGAAAGCGUUAUAUGGACUUCGUCAGGCUCCACGUGCCUAGUUUGAGAAGCUAAAGAGAUUUCUAGUAUCUAUUGGGGUUUGUUGUAUUGAAGUCUGAUGCAUCCUUAUUUGUUAGGAUCACGCCAGAUUCAUCACUGUAUGUUCUUGUGUAUGUUGGUGAUAUUAUUAUUACCGAUAGUGUGACAUCUGUUAUUGAGUGGUUUGUUCAGUUGUUGAACAACGAGUUCUCGCUUAAGGACAUGGGCGAUCUUCAUUAUUUUCUUGGAAUAGAGGUUGCUCUUUCUUCAUCAGGAUGUCUUCACUCGCAUUAUAUACGAGGUAUUCUUGUUCGAUGUUCGAUGGAAAAUGCAAAGAGUGUUCAUACACAGAUGAUUAGUUCCUCUGUCAUGUCUAAAGAUGAUGGUGAUCGUUUAGAGGAUUCGACCGAGUAUAAGAGUCUUGCUGGUGCAUUACAGUAUGUUACUUUUGCUAGACUUGAUGUUACAUAUGCUGUCAAUCGGAUAUGUUAGUUCAUGCAUAGUCCCGCUACUGUUCAUAUGACCAGCUUGAAGCGCAUUUUGUAAUAUUUAGCCAGCACACUUAAUUUUGGCAUUGUUUUUCGCCCGACCAUUAGUUUGACGUUAGUUGGGUAUGCUGAUGCCAACUGGGGGUUGGAUUUUGAUAAUCGGCGAUCCACUUUCGGGUUUUGUGUUUAUUUUGGGAAUACUCCCGUAUAUUGGUGCACAAAGAAACAACAAGUGGUUGCUCGGUCCACUGCUGAGGCUGAGUAUAGGAGUCUUGUUGCGGUCACGAGUGAGGUCACGUGGUUAUUAUCGUUACUUCGAGAAUUACAGAUUCAAUCUAUCGCUACACCAAAUAUUUGGUGUGAUAGUUCUGGUGCAGUUGCGGUUGCAGCUAAUCCUGUGCUACAUUCAAAGUUUAGGCAUGUUAAGUUAAAUUUGUUUUUCGUUUGUGAAAAGGUUGUUGAUGGCUCUGUUGUGGUUGGUGAGGUUUCAGCCUGUGAUCAAGUUGCUGAUGUUCUUACUAAAUCUCUGUCAGUAUCGAUUUUUACUCGGUUUCGACGUUUUCUUCGGGUUUUGCCUGUCGAGGAGAUGGAUGCAUAUUAGAGAGUAGCUUAGGAAGCUGUUAGUUAGUUUGUAUUGGGUACAAAUACAAUUGCUUAGUUUGUUGAAGAGCAGUUAUUUUUGAAACUCUAUAUAUAGGCGUUCUCAUAUGUAUAGAAGGCAUGAUUUGAAAAUAUAAAGAAAGUAUCAUUGUUAUUUUAGUUCUUUAAUAUUUCCCUCUUUACCUAGAUUUUUACAAAUCAAGUUGAAUCGAGUAAAAAAAUUUCGAGUUAAUCAAGUUCACGAGUCCUAUUUAUCAUCCUAACUCAAUUUGAAAUUUUUUCAAAUCGAGUUGAGUGAAAUGAAAUUCGAGUCGAGUCAAAUCGAGUAAAAUUGUUCGAGUUAAAUUAAAAAAAUAAACAUUUCAAAUAAAAAUAUUGUUACAAGAUAAUUAAUUCCAUGUUAAAGCACAUAAAUUUUUUAAAAAUAUAAAAUUUGAAAUUUUUAUAAAUAAUUUGAAUUUUAAAAAUUAAUUUUUAAUUUUGAAAAUUAUUUUAAGUUAUUUUGGUAAUUUUUGUGGAAAGAGAGAUCAAUUUGCUUAUUUUCAAAGUUAACAGGGACCAAAGGGUAUUUAUUCCAAUUUGUUAUUUGAAUUAUUCGAGUUAUUCGAAUUGUGAAAUUCAACUCGACUCGAAUUCGAAACUCGAAUUGAGUUAUUUGAGUUGACUCGAAUAAUUCGAUUCGAUUAACUUAAAAUUCGAAUUUUUUUUUAUUUUUUCGAAUCGAAUUGAAUUUUGCUCGGCCCUAAUUAGCAAUAGUGAACUCAUUCAGUUUCAACUUUCAAAUAAGGCUACUCAAAAAUAAAAUAGUCGAGAUGAUGCUUAAAAUUGCUAUAACAUAAAAUGACUUCACUUUAGAUAAAAGAAUGCAGUUACAAUUUUAAAAAUUAGUGUAACCUUUUCCUUACGGAUUAGGUUUCCACAACGAAGGAUGGAUACUUUCAGUUGGUUAGUGUGCCUUGUUUUGCUCUUGGUCUUGUUCCAAGUCUACAGGAAAUUGGGGGGGACCAACAGGCUUCCACCUGGUCCUCCUGCAAUUCCAAUAUUCGGAAACCUCUUCCAGCUUGGUGGUAAACCCCAUAGGACCCUUACAGAACUUGCAAAGGUUCAUUGGGACAUCAUGACUCUGAAAUUUGGCCAAACAACUACUAUAGUUUUGUCAUCUGAAACCAUGGCCAAAGAAAUCCUCUAAACGCAUGACGCAAUAUCUUGUAAUCGAACCGUUCCCGAUGCCCUUCGUACCCUUCAACACCACGAAGCCGGAAUAGCUUGGAUGCCUGUUUCAACCACAUGGAGAAAUCUUAGGAAAAUCUGCAACUUGCACAUUUUCGCUACUCAGAAACUUGACGCUAACCAACACCUGCGGCGUAACAAAGUAGAACAACUCCUUGCUGAUGUUGGUGAUAGUUCCCGCAUUGGAGAAUCGAUAGAGAUAUCCACAGUUGCUUUCAAAACUACGCUUAAUCUUAUAUCCAAUACUAUUUUCUACGUCGAUUAUGCCAACCCUUCUUCUAAUACUGCCCUGGAAUUCAGAGAAAAUUUACAGGUUAUCAAGGAAGAGUUGGGAAAAGCCAAUUUUGGUGAUCUUUUUCCUACUCUUGCUAAACUUGACUUGCAAGGCAUAAGGCGUCGCAUGGCAAUUCAUUCUAAGAAGAUGAUGAAUAUUUUUGAUAAAGAGAUUGAUAACCGGUCGGAGUUGAGAAAGAUGAAUGAUUAUAUACCAGCUCAAGAAUUUUUGGAUACUCUUCUCCAAAUCAGUGAAGAUGAUAACGAAGAGCUUGAUAGAAAUCUGAUAAAACAUUUGUUUUUUGUACUUUUUUCUCUCUUCAGUCUCUCAAUUGUUUUCUUCUUCUUUUUUUUUUGGUCCAUAACUCGGUAACAAUUUGUGAAACAGGAUUUGUUCACUGCAGGAACGGAUACAACUACAAGUACACUGGAAUGGGCAAUGGCGGAGUUACUUCAUAACCCAAAAGCUUUACAGGAAGUCCGAAGAGAACUACAACAAAUAAUUGGCGAAGGGAACGUAGUGGAGGAAUCUAAUGUUACUCGUUUACCUUAUUUGCAAGAUUGCAUCCUCCACUUCCUUUCUUACUCCCUCGAAAAGCUGAAGUAGAUAUCAAGAUUCACAACUUCGUUUAGAGAGGUUCAUAGAAUCAGAAAUUGAUGUUAAAGGAACGAACUUUGGAUUGGUUCCAUUUGGGGGAGGGCGACGAAUUUGCCCUGGAUUACCAUUGGCCAUUAGAAUGUUGCCCUUAUUGUUGGGUACACUUAUUCAUUCAUUUGAUUGGGAACUUGAAGAUGGAGUCACACCUUAAAGUUUAAACAUGGAUGAAGCUUACGGUCUUAUUUUACAGAAAGCUCAACCAUUCAAAGUUAUCCCUCGUUCGAUUUAACAAAUUAUUGUAUAUUUUUAUCUAUAACUAUUGAAAAGUUUAAGAGUUAGAAAAGUUAAGUAUUGAAUUUUUACUGUUGAGUUGAAUUUAUAUUAGAAAAUUGUUUGAUAAAUUAGUAAAUAUAAAUAUUAAAUAUAAUUAUAUUGUUAGAUAAAAGUAAAUAUUGGUUUUUAAUUUUAAUCUUAUUAAUAUAUUAUUUUAUAUAUUUUGGAUAGUUUUGGGUAAGAGAUAAAUAUAGUAAUUUAAAUAUCUCUUUCUUUUAAGAGAAGGAUAAUUUGUUUCAAUUUUUUAAUAAAAUAAAAUCAACUUAAUAUUUUUUAGAUUAAGUGAUAAUUAUAUACCUAUCUACUUAUCUUAUUCAACACUUUUUAAAAAAAAAAUCAUAUUAAGUUAAAAAAUAAGAAAAUGGUUAUCAAAUACAUUUAAAGUAUUAAAUGUUGAAAACUUUCAUUUUCAAUGAAAUGAAUUUUCAAUGAUUUAUCAAACACACCCUUCAUUGAUGGUAAAUUAUUAUAGAAUUAUUUUAGAUUAUCUUUCAUUUUUCUUCAAACAUUGUGGGCAAUGCUAGCAUUCAUUAAUCACAUGAAAACCAUGCGUACCUAUUUACCAGGGAUGUUGUUAGGGGUUGAUAGGAGUCUUAACCCCUAAAAUGGAAAAUUUUUCAUUUAGGUUCUUUAAGUUUUUAAAAAUUUAAAUUAGUAAAGGUAAAAUUAUACUUUGUCCCCCUAAAAAUAAUAAAAAAUUAAUUUAAUUCUUUAAAAAUUAUAAAAAAUUUAAACUAUUAAAAUGAUAAAAUUUCAUUUUUACUAUCGUAAAAAAUAUAAUUUAAUUUCGACUCUCUAAAAAUUUUUUUUUAGCUUCACCCCUGCUAUUUACUACCAUGUCUUAUGUUACAUGCAAGAGGUAAUACUGACAUUUGAACUCAACAAAGAUUCAUUUCGUCAACAACCAAAAUAUCACCAACAUUUGAACUCAACAAAAGUUCAUUUCGUCUACAACCAAAAUAUCAUUGCCACAAUACAUCUCAUAUAUAUUAUGUGAACUAAAAUAUUGGUACCAAGGAUAUAAAUACACAUACCAACUUAGACACGUAGUCAGCUCCCCGAUUUCACCCAGAUUUCUUGAUGAUUAGCCGUCCCGAUCCUUCAACCUCAGCAUGGACCUAACCUAUUCGUUCCCUUGAUUAUUUGUAUAUAUAACUACU